UUCACUGGUACGUAGGUGAGAGGGUGGAGAAAGGAGAGUUUUCUGAGGCUCAUGAGGACAUGGCUUCCCUAGAGAAAGAUUAUGAGGAGGUUGGUGUAGAUUCUGUUGAAGGAGAGGGUGAGGAAUAAGGAAAGGAAUACUAAAGUUAAAAUGUCACAAAGGUGCUGCUUUUACAGGGAAGCUUAUUCUGAUUUGAACAUUGAAAAGUUUUGGUCUGAUCAAUUAAUCUCUAUGUAGAAUUGUAUGCUCUCAUAUAUAAUUACUGACCCAUGCUUUAAAACAUGAAUGCUUUGUCACAGACCCAGGCUGUCCAUUUCUCUGAUGAGUUUUAAAUAAAGUAUUCCCUGUCAAAAAAAAAAAAAAGAAU
rnacentral:lncRNA from 1 species